AAUUGUUUUAAGAUUCAAAAACACAAGACAAAUAAAGCUACUUAGCCAAUUCCCUUUCACCAUAUCAUCUUUAAAAUUCUAUCAUUAUGGCUAAUUAACUAGACCUCCAAAUACCUAUUUUUUGAAAACUAAGAUGGGAGAAAGACCAGCCAAAAUUGGGAUAAGGGCAAGACUUGAACCCAAGUCUCUAGUACGUAACUCUUAAUAGCAAUCAAUUAUAUAAGUUGGUGCCUAACCCUCUAAAAAACUAAACCUUCAAUGAUGUAUCAACUUAUACAAAUGGGGAAAAAAUUCUCUCAAAACCACCGAUAUUCAAGGAAAGAUUGAUUUAGGAAUGUCAAUGGGUUAGGCCUAGUCAUAUCAUGU
rnacentral:lncRNA from 1 species